UACGUAGGGUCCGAGCGUUUGUCCGGAAUUAUUGGGCGUAAAGGGCUCGUAGGCGGUUUGUCGCGUCGGGAGUGAAAACACGGGGCUUAACCCCGUGCCUGCUUCCGAUACGGGCAAACUAGAGGUAUGCAGGGGAGAACGGAAUUCCUGGUGUAGCGGUGAAAUGCGCAGAUAUCAGGAGGAACACCGGUGGCGAAGGCGGGUCUCUGGGCCGAUACUGACGCUGAGGAGCGAAAGCGUGGGGAGCGAACAGG
rnacentral:rRNA from 1 species